GUAGUGUCUUUGCAGGGGAGAUAACGUGAUCAAGAAGGCGGUUCACCCAGGGCGAGGCUCAGGCAUCGCACUCCAGCUGUGCCAACCCCUGCGAAUUCCCCAAAUGUGGGAAUCUCAACUGCAUAAUUUCUGGUAGUGCUCUCCCCUGGUUUUAGGGGCAGUG
ensembl:snRNA U1 U1 spliceosomal RNA